GGCCUUCGUCUGCUUCAUAAAAACCCGAGCCAGAAAAGGAGCCGCACUGAGACCGAGCAGCCCUAUGGGGGUGUUGAAGGCCCCGGCUCAGGAAGACCCCAUCUACGACUCCAUUGACGAAGGGGAACAGCCACAGACCCUGGAGCCCGGCAUCUACGCCGAGCUGGACCGCCAGACGCUGCAGCCCAGUGUGUACGAUGUGAUCAACGUGAGCCGGGGAGCCCCGCAGUGAGAGCCCCCCGCAGCCAUGGGGCGCCAGACCCCAGGGGGCAACAGCCUCACGCUCCAACAGCGCCAGCCCCAGAGAACUCUGCAUCUAGGGAAGAUUUAGGGGGGACGCUGCCCUCCCCGCGCUGCAGCCCCGUCCCAUCAAACUUCUGUCCCCCUGCCCCACGCAGACCCACAUGUGGGGGGAAGGGGGAGUUCAGCACUGGGAUGGGUAGGAGACGCUUCAAGGCAGCUUUGAUGUUAUUUUGCAUCCUGUUAACCUCCAGAUUUGUAAUAAACACAGAUCAUUA